UCCCUAAUAGUGUAAUGGUUAACAUAUCGCGCUUUCACCGCGAAGCUCGGAACUCGAUUCUCCGUUAGGGAG